GAUGAACGCUGGCGGCGUGCCUAAUACAUGCAAGUCGAGCGAACAGAUGAGGAGCUUGCUCCUCUGACGUUAGCGGCGGACGGGUGAGUAACACGUGGAUAACCUACCUAUAAGACUGGGAUAACUUCGGGAAACCGGAGCUAAUACCGGAUAAUAUAUUGAACCGCAUGGUUCAAUAGUGAAAGACGGUUUUGCUGUCACUUAUAGAUGGAUCCGCGCCGCAUAGCUAGUUGGUAAGGUAACGGCUUACCAAGGCAACGAUGCGUAGCCGACCUGAGAGGGUGAUCGGCCACUCUGGAACUGAGACACGGUCCAGACUCCUACGGGAGGCAGCAGUAGGGAAUCUUCCGCAAUGGGCGAAAGCCUGACGGAGCAACGCCGCGUGAGUGAUGAAGGUCUUCGGAUCGUAAAACUCUGUUAUUAGGGAAGAACAAAUGUGUAAGUAACUAUGCACGUCUUGACGGUACCUAAUCAGAAAGCCACGGCUAACUACGUG
rnacentral:rRNA from 1 species